CUGGCGGCACGCCUAAUACAUGCAAGUCGAACGGAGUAGCAAUACUUAGUGGCAGACGGGUGAGUAACAUGUGGGUAUCUUCCCUUUGGUGAGGAAUAACACGAGGAAACUUGUGCUAAUACCUCAUAAGUCUUUACGGAGAAAGCUUUAUGCGCCAAUGGAUGAGCCUGCACUUGAUUAGUUUGUUGGUGGGGUAAUGGCCUACCAAGACUGUGAUCAAUAGCUGAUUUGAGAGGAUGAUCAGCCACAUUGGGACUGAGACACGGCCCAAACUCCUACGGGAGGCAGCAGUAGGGAAUCUUGCACAAUGGAGGAAACUCUGAUGCAGCGAUGCCGCGUGAGUGAAGAAGGCCUUUGGGUUGUAAAGCUCUUUCGUCGGGGAAGAAAAUGACUGUACCCGAAUAAGAAGGUCCGGCUAACUUCGUGCCAGCAGCCGCGGUAAUACGAAGGGACCUAGCGUAGUUCGGAAUUACUGGGCUUAAAGAGUUCGUAGGUGGUUAAAAAAGUUGGUGGUGAAAUCCCAGAGCUUAACUCUGGAACUGCCAUCAAAACUUUUUAGCUAGAGUUUGAUAGAGGAAAACAGAAUUUCUAGUGUAGAGGUGAAAUUCGUAGAUAUUAGAAAGAAUACCAAUUGCGAAGGCAGUUUUCUGGAUCAUUACUGACACUGAGGAACGAAAGCAUGGGUAGCGAAGAGGAUUAGAUACCCUCGUAGUCCAUGCUGUAAACGAUGUGUGUUAGACGUUGGAAAUUUAUUUUCAGUGUCGCAGCGAAAGCAAUAAACACACCGCCUGGGG
rnacentral:rRNA from 1 species